rnacentral:rRNA from 1 species
AUGAACCCCUCCUCGGCGCCGGGCCCUGACGGUCUUCCGGUCAUCUUCUUCCAGACCUUCUGGAACGUGAUUAAGCCUGAGAUCAUGGCCAUCUUCGAGGAAUUCUUCAUGGGCUCGAUUGACCUUGGCCGCCUCAACUUUGGGACCAUCUCCCUCAUUCCCAAGGUCCCUGGGGCGACGGACAUCCGCCAGUUCCGCCCGAUUACGGUCAUCAACGUGAUCUUCCGGAUCCUGGCCAAGGGGUACGCCAAUAGGGUGACCCUGCUUGCUGACCGGAUCACUCACCCUAACCAAUCUGCGUUCAUUAAGGGCCGGUACAUCCUAGAUGGUGUCCUGGUCCUGCAUGAGGUCCUUCAUGAAGUCCGGGUCAAACACCUGAAGGCGGUCUUUCUGAAAAUCGAUUUUCACAAGGCCUAUGACACGGUUAGCUGGUCCUUCCUUAGGGAAGUUCUUCUGCGAAAGGGCUUUGACGACCGGUGGAUCAUGAGAGUC